rnacentral:lncRNA from 1 species
AGAUGUACAACACUCUUUUUUUUAUAGUGUUCUGUAAAUUAUCAGGAACACCAGUUGUGAUGAAUGGGAAGACUGGCAGGCUGAGAAAUGGGUAUAAGGGGAGGGAAUACCCCUGCUUAUCUUUUCAUACUGGUUAGUUCCUUUGGUCAAGGUUUUGUACAAAUGUUGUUCAUAUCAGAUGUAUACUUGUUAUUUGGAGCUCUGUAAAAAAAAAAAAAAAAAAAAAAAAAAAAAAUGUAAAAAAAUUGUAAACAGAGUUCUAGAUAAUAACUGGGUGGUAUGAAAUGUGGGUUAAAUAUUUUCGGUAUAUUUUAAAUGAUUUUUUUUUUAUGCAUCUGAUAUUUUUUGUGUAUAAAAUGUUUUGUUAUUUUUUUAUAGAAUUGCUUUAGUUGCCUUCUUGACUAACAUUUAUUGGUGAAUGGAGAGACUAGCAGGCUGAGAUUGAGGCAUAAGGGGAGGGAUUACCCCUGCUUUUCUCUUCAUACUUGUAAAUUCUGUCACUGCACGGAAGGUCAACAAUUAAGAAUAUAUAAGUUUUUUUAUGUAUCAAUGUAAGUUAGAUAAGUUAUAUCAGAUGUAUAUAAAGUAAGAUGAAAGUAUUCUUUAGAGCUCUGUAAAAAAAAAAGCUUGUAAACAGAGGUCUAGAUAAUGCAUUAAGGGGUUUGGUUUGACAUGGGGAUUUCAAAUUAUAUUUACAAGUCAUCAUCUACAAAAAUGCAUCUGAUAUUAUUUGCCCCCAGCCCAGUUUCAUGUCCCAAAUAUAAUGACUGCAGAAUAAUGGCUACAGCUUAGUCAACAGCCUUAUUUAAAGUUUCUGAUUCACUUCCAUUCCCAACCCCACCCCACCCCCACCCUUUUAAUAAGUAGUUAUAGAUUAAGGUUUCUUAUUGGGAGUAAUGAUUGAUUGAUUUUAAUUAAGUGUCACAGAAUUAUUAAGAUACUAAUUUCUGUGUAACAAGAUUAAUCUCCAAU